GAUGAACGCUGGCGGCGUGCCUAAUACCUGCAAGUCGAGCGAAGAGAUAAGGAGCUUGCUCCUAUGACGUUAACGACGGACGGGUGAGUAACACGUGGAUAACCUAACUAUAAGAGUGGGAUAACUUCGGGACACCGAGGCUAAUACCUGAUAAUAUAUUGCACCGCAUGGUUCGAUCGUGAAAGACGGUUUUGCUGGCACUUAUAGAUAGGUCCGAGCCGCAUUAGCUAGUUGGUAAGGUAACGGCUUACCAAGGCCACGAUGCGUAGCCGACCUGAGAGGAUGAUACGACACAUCGGAACUGAGCAACGGCCGUGAAACCUAAGGUAGGAAGCAUUAGGGAGUGUUCCGCAAUGGGCGAAAGUCGUACGGAGCAACCCUGCGCGAGCGAUGACGGCUCUCGGACUCUAAAACUCUUUUAUGAGGGAUGAACCAAUGUGUAAGUAACUAUGCACGUCUUGACGGUACUUUGGCAGAAAGCCACGGCUAACUACCUC
rnacentral:rRNA from 1 species